GUACUCCACAGCUGUGUUACGGCCCUGGGCCUUAAUGGCUGGGUUGCAGGUGUCUUGUUGUCUGUCUUUGUGCUCCUCCCCUUUACAGGUGUUGCUGAUUUUAUUCAUUUGGAGCACAGAGCAUUUAAACCUGGCUGUCUCCACCUUCUGGGUCGCCAUCAGCGUCCACUCUGCCUCGAUGCUUGCGGUGUUUUGUUGCCAGGCCUCAGCUCCCCUCCUUUUGCACAUUUGAGUUUGUCUUUGUUUUUGCACUUCAACAACUCCAUAUGCACUCAUACACCACAUCCAAGCAUUUGCAUUACACCACUGAUACUGACAUCCUCAAUCCAUUGUUGUUUGUGUUAAUAAACAUUCCUUUUUAUGCACUUUAAUCCCUGCAUGGUCUCCCGUUAUUGUUAUGACCUUGAGCCAGUCGUAACAUUAGACAUAUGAAUGAGUAAAAAUGUAGAGUCUGCAGACGGAUGAGUCUCAACAUAAUGUUAUUGGAGUACAGAAACCAGGAAGCAGAAACCAGGAUACUCCUGAAAUUGUUUUUUUUUUUUUUUAAAUGUCUUUUUUUUUCCAACUACACAAAGGAAUAAUGGUAUGAAGAGGCUCAGGCAGACAUCAGUCAGCUGCUUUUAAAGGUCCAGGGAUUUCCCCGUUGUUAUCAUUAAUCAAAACAGGGCUGUCGUUACAGCUUCAUACUUACUGCAUUAAACGUCUGGAGUUUGCCACUGUCAGGACUGUUGGUGCAACUAAAAACAAAAACAUGCAAACUCCUGGUCUAAACAAAACAUGUUUAAAUAUCCAGAUAUCCUUAUUUAUCUAGUUUCUACAACAGUUUGCUUUGGAAGUGCAGAUUGUGUGAAACUGUGAU